CAUUCCAGUUCAACUCGCAGUACUUAAAUCUCGCGAGAUCUCCUGUCGCGCCAUUUCAGGCCCGAGCGCACACAUCGCAUUGUUGCUUGGAGUGUCGCCACGGCUACGGUUGUAGGGCCAGAGUUUUUGUUUUGUAUAUAUUUUUUUUAACUUUCUUACACAUUACGCGGUGUUUUGAGAUUUUUUUUUUUAUGUUCUACGCUUUGAAGCAGGUGUGAUAUACACCGUUGAGGGCUAUAAUUCUGCAGAAUCAGACCAAUCAGGAAUCCCUAAUGGUGACCAGAAAAAGAGGAAGACUUGAGAGUAAAGGUGUGGACACCAUGUGCUCAAGCCCUUCUGAGGAAUGUGACCUCGCCUUACAAAUGUCUUCUGAAGGUGCAAUCCAGCACUCCUCACCAGAGAGUGAUUCGAACGACUGGGGGCUAGAUGAGCUCUUCACCUCUGAUUUCAACUGGGCUUUAGAAGAUGAUGUGCUCUGUCCUUUCCAAGACAUGGGAAUGCAGGAUCUAGGGUUAAGCGCGGAAGACAAGACUGAUCAGGAAUCCAUAUCCCACAGCAGAGGUUCGGCCCGGAGGCAGAAACUACAAGACCUUUCUGGGCGCAAUGUGAAUAAGAACGCACUGGCGGCAAGACUGAACCGGCUGAAGAAGAAAGAGUAUUUGAAUGGCUUGGAGCAGCGCGUUGGAUCUCUGACCUCUGAGAACCGGCUUCUCAGGCAGGAGAACGGCAGCCUGAACAAAAGGGUGGAAGAACUUGAGAAUGAGACUAGGUACUUGAGAGCCGUGUUGGCCAAUGAGAGCAUGUUGGCGCAGCUGUUGUCUAGAUUGAGCGGUGUGAACGGCAUGAAAUUCUCUACCUCGCUUUUCCAGGCGUCCAGCGAGAACGACCACGAUUACGCCAUGCCAAGGAAGAAAGUGAAGGUGGAGGACAAGGCCGCGGCAGGCGGCGUCUGUCUGCAUGUGGACAAGGACCACGUCUCUGUGGAGUUCUGCACUAAAUGUGCAGAGAGUGCAAGCGCAUCACUUAAAAUUUUUCUCCUAGGUGCUUGGUCUGCCAUGUGGGGUGACUGGAUCUCAGAGCAUCCAUGACUGCCAGAACCUAUGUGGAUUUGCUGUGGGGAAAGCUGAAGAAACGGGACCAGCAGCUUGCAACAUGGCCUGGUAAAUUAAAAAAGCAGUUUCUUCAUUCUCCUCAAGUGUUAUCCUCCCUCUUUUCUAAGUGGAUAAAGAGUGGUAAUCUUGCCUUUAAGGGACUGCAAACCACAAACCUUUUCCAUGACAACAUGCUAUGUGGCCUUUAUUCUGUGGGUUAUGGAGGGGGAACCUUGCUUUCAAAGAGCUUGUGAUGGUCCAGACAUAGGGAGGGGCUUUCACACCUAUACACUGCAAACAUGAUAAUGAAUCAGAGAAAUUGAUAGUUUUUUUUUAUAAUUUGGUUUGAUACAGCAUUUAAUGUAACAAACCAAGAAACAAAAAUUGGCUAAGCAUUGGGGCUGAAAACUUGAUUUGAAUUUGUUGGUCAAAUAUAGUAAUGGAAAGGGAUGUAGAAGUUACAAGUCACCUGAGCACAAAGCUCACUCUAAAGUAUGUGCAACAGUUCAAUUUUAUAAAUUACUACAGGGUGUCCCAAAGUCCCCAUACAUGGGGGAAUUAACACUUUUUUAGCUAAUGUAACUUUAUUUACAAAACAUCCUCUACAUGAUUGACAUUUCUUUGUAAAAACAGAGUCGUGGCUCCCCAGUUUGGGAACACUGGGGAGUGUGAUGUGCUUGCCAUGUUUCCAUCUCAACCUUGGGACACCUUCCCGAUCCAGACAUGAGAAUGAUUUCAAUAAAUUCGUUCUUCUUUUGUCAAAGACAUUCUUAAAGGUUAUUUGGGGGUUAUGAACUGGAGUAUGAAACAUUUUGUUGGUGUUUAUUUCCCCUAUGUAUGGAGACUUCUGGGACAUGCUAUAGUUUAAAAUGUGUAGUGUCACAUCCAGCAUUGUUUCCUUUUGUUGGUCCAUAUAGCCAGAGCAUAUUGAUGUCUCUCAUGCUACAGCUUUGUCCUUUUGGAACCUUUCGUUCCUCAUGAGGUAGUUUGGCAGCUGGCAUUUACAAAACUGCUGCAGGUGACCAAAAGUACUUGCCGUUUGGUUCCCUUUGGCCUGUUCAGAGUUUAAUGGAUUUGUCACUGAUCAAAAUGCAGUAGUUUGUAUGAAACCAGGCUGUUUUGUUUAGACCGUCUCAGACCGGUUGUUCUGGUCUGCUCCCAAGUGUGAUUUAACUGCUUAAGUGAAAUACUGAGAGGGGGUUAAAGAUCAGAGAUCAGAUUAAACAUACAGAAGCACUAUAGGUGAAAGCACUAUUUAAGCACAAUGUUAAAUCUCCUCUUUCGUACUUUGUGGCAGUGGUUCCCUCUUUGUUCUCAACAGUUCAGGAUGGUGUUAAAGCUACCCCUUAAUAUUUAGCAAAAAGAAAAUAUUCAAAUGGAUUUAUAGAAGGGUGUUGUAAAGAUGAAUUAAACUUGUUUAAAAAUGGCUUGCUUGCUAAUCCACAGACGAGAGAAGUCUCUUGGCUUGUGUAAAACUGCAUAUAAAACAAACGCAAAAUUUACUCUAGAAUAAUAAAUUGCAUGAUGGGGUGCUUUCUGCUGUCACCCUCACUAAUUGAGAGUAUUCAGAUAUACAGAUAGGAAACUUGGCCAUUAGCACUUGUACUGUGAAACCAAUGAUGUAAUAGGUUGUAUGAUUUUAUUAUUUCAUAUAGCCUGCAUUUUGAUGAUAGGUUCGUAUGCUCUAUGGUGCACUAACAUGUCUGUUGCAUGGCCAGAACUAGAUGCUUGAAAUCGACAUUAACAUGCACACCAGUUUGCACACUCGAAUGACUUAAAAUCAUUGAGGGGAUUAUGACUAUACUACAUGUACUGUUUUAUGGAAACAUGAAUAUUGGUAGGCAUCACAAAAUUCUCCAGUGGGUUUGAGAGUUCUAUAUCUUGUUUUUAAAAUUCUUAUUUUGGUUUUAGUGUGUCUGUUUUUUUUUUUGUUUUUUUUUUUUAAAUUUGGUGAACAAAAUUGCCUUUGCUGUGAAGGACACAAGAUUCUCCUUCAGAAUUGUCCAAAAUAUCAGAUUUUAGAUGUCUGUCCUUAAAAAAAAAAAAAAAAAAGUAGUAAUGAUUAAAUAUUAAGGAUAAUUGUUUUGAAGCCUCUGUGAUGUUCAGGGAAUGUUAUCUGCACUUGUGUAGUGUAGUGUUUAGAGACUGAAGCACUGACAGUGCAUCUUAGCAGGUGUGCAAUGCUAUAAGUAACUCUAGAUUAUAUUAGUACAGAUUCAAUAGUCAAACCACUAGGUACAGAAAUGAAUAAAAGUUAACUUGGAUCAAUAUAGACAAUUAUCAUCAAAACCCUUAAUAUUUUUUGUUUAUGCUUUCAUACAAAUUGGGAAUAUAUGGUUGUAAAAUUUAGAUUAUUUUCUUUAAUAAUAAAGAUUCUUUUCAUUCUAUGAUG